rnacentral:tRNA from 10 species
GGGGCUAUAGCUCAGCUGGGAGAGCGCCUGCUUUGCACGCAGGAGGUCUGCGGUUCGAUCCGCAUAGCUCCACCA